rnacentral:tRNA from 1 species
GCCUGGGUGGCUCAGUCGGUUGAGCGUCCGACUUCAGCUCAGGUCAUGAUCUCGCGGUCCGUGGGUUCGAGCCCCGCGUCGGGCU